rnacentral:lncRNA from 1 species
GGCUAGGGAACAUAAAGCCGAUCAAAGCGGGAGUUCUUAAUGAAGAUAAAUCCAGAAAUGCGCUUCGGACGCAUGCUAUUUAUAAAGUCUUGUUCUCUGGUUUUUUUAACAAUAUUUGAAUAACCUUUCUCACAAUGACUGAAUAAACUACAUUAAAAUUAAUUCAUAAUACUUACAUGGUAGAUAUGGGAUGACCGACUAAGUGUGGAACUUUUAGGUGUGGAUAAUAUUCAUAUAAAAAAUACUUGUACUUAGUUUAUAUUGUUAUUGUGUUUAUGAAAAUGAUUUUAUGUAUCUUUAUGUCACCCUAUUAUUGCAGUCUCUAUUAUAUACAAACCAAAUAUAAGGUUAAUCAUAAUUAAAGUGUUUUGGA